GUGCUCGCUUCAGCAGCACAUAUACUAAAAAAUUGGAACGAUACAGAGAAGAUUAGUAUGGCCCCUGCACAAGGAUGACAUGGAAAUUCACGAAGUGUUCCAUAUUUUU
rnacentral:snRNA from 1 species